UUACCAUUUCGGUUAAAAUUUCUCCUGUAUAUUUAUAGUUGUUUCAUAGUUUCAGUUUCUUGAAUUUUUGUCUCCUGCCAUGAUUAUGUUCUUUUGUAUGUUAUACUUAGACAGUUGGGCCAACUUAGCAAUGAACAGUUCUUGGUUGAUGAUUGAUGAAUUUGAAUGUCCCCAGCAACUACAAAAGUUAUACACUUCUACAAAGACGACUAAGCAUUUUCAGCGGCAUAUUGUUCACGGUAUUGAAGUAUCGUUGCUGUUAGUUCUUAGCAGAUGAAUAUAGUAAGAAAGUUGGCUAAAGACUUAUGUAAAUAUGCAACUGAGCAUCAAGACAGUACAUACCCCCUUGCAAAGGUUGUAUGUGCUGGAUUUAAGUAAAGUGUUGAACCUCCAGUUUAUUUAAGUGGAGGUCCUUAAUGAGGCCACUGCAUACUUGUGGUAUUGUAGGGUGAUUCUCUUUGUAUUGGUUGCAGGGAAGUGGAGUAAUUUGCAGUAGAAUUUUAAUGCAGUUUCGUUGGUUAAAGCAUUGCAGCUCAUGCUAUCCUUUCUCUUUUGGUUAUUGCAAAUUUGCAAUGAAGGUAUGUGGUCCCACCUAUGCUGCUCCAAGAGAUGCGGUUACGUGUCAGAUUGAGAAGGAAAUUGAGUUUGAAGCAGGGCAUGUUGACCUCUCCAAAAGGGAGCAUAAGGGACCUGAGUUCUUCAAGAUUUCAGGUUCAAUUUUUCACUUCUUUUUUGUUGAAAAAGUUCAUUUUAAUAUUAUACUUGAUCACUUUGUUUUCCACAUUGGGUUUUCCUUUACCUGUUUGUCAUAAUUUGUUUCCGAUAAUCUUGUUGUUUCUCACUUCUUAGGGACGUAAAGGUAUGUUUUCAGUAUCAUAUUUAUUGUAAAAUGAUUGCUGUUAAUUCAGUUUCCAUAUGUUAUAAACUUAUAAUGACAUGAUCAUGAUGGAUAUUAAUUGAGUAUGACAUCUCCAUGGACUGACUUUUACAUGAUUAUGAUGCAUACUACCUAUUUAAGAGUUAAACCUUCCGCAAUUUGGGGUGAAAUUAAAAUGAUAAGGUGUCUUAUUGAUGGUGAUAUAGAUAGCUAAAAAUUAUUUUAAAUUGUAAAGCUGUGAUGCUUUGCUGCUGUUUAGCAUUAAUGUUUCCUAGCUACUUUGGUGUUGUUAAAUGAUGAAGUUUAAAAUCUGAUUUGUAGAGUAGUUUUAGUGUUUAUACUUCCAUGGUUUUCUGCAACUCUAGUUCUGAAACUAUACAAGGUAACGAAUUGAGUGGUAAGAGCAUUAGUGCUCGAGUAAGUUUUAUGCAAGUAGGUAUUUGAGUUGCAAGUUCUAUUUUUUGGCAGCUAUGAAACCAUUUUCUGGCGGUUCUAAACCGCCAAAAUUGGUUUAACAAGCCAAUGCAAACGAUGACAUUUAGCGGCAAUACUAAA